rnacentral:rRNA from 1 species
UACAGAGGUCUCAAGCGUUUGUUCGGAGUUCAUUGGGCGUAAAGGGUGCGUAGGCGGCGCGGGUAAGUCGGGUGAUGAAAUCUCGGAGCUUAACUCCGAAACUGCAUUCGAUACUGCCGUGCUUGAGGACUGGAGAGGAGACUGGAAUUUACGGUGUAGCGGUGAAAUGCGUAGAUAUCGUAAGGAAGACCAGUGGCGAAGGCGGGUCUCUGGACAGUUCCUGACGCUGAGGCACGAAGGUCAGGGGAGCAAACAGG